GCCUGUGUAAGUGUGGGGAGAAGAAACUCCCUGCUCCCCCCGGAUGGUUGUGAAGCACGUCUGUCUUCCCACCGUCAUCGUGUCACCUGCGGCUAUUUUGCGAUGUCAUCCUAAAGGGAGGUGACUGCUAGACGUAACUACAGCGCCACUGUCGGACUCGAGAGAAUGAACAGUAAUUCCUUAACACCAAGAAAUAGCUGGUCAGCACUGAAGGUUCUAAUGCUAUCAGAAAUUUUGUUUAUAAAAAAAGUAGUUCGGGUCAAGACCCUUGCUGGGACUGGUGGCAGGGUCUGCCGGUGCCUCUCCGCUCGGUCCCUGGAGGAGACCAGUCCCCUGUCCCAGAGGUUGAACCGUGGCUGUGCCUGGGUUCCUGUCCUUCCGCCCUGUCUGCAGGUCGCUGCCUGGAGCGCAGGCACCUCUUGGGUUCAGGCUUGAGUUCAGUUUGUCGCGAGAGUCCUGGGCUGUUGGUGACCACGGCGAGUGCUGAGGCACCGGGAGUGCGUCCAUGUUGGGGUGACGUCCGUGGCUGCUGCUCUGGGUAGCGUUAGGGUGACCAUGUCCAUGGCUGCUGCUCUGGGUAGCGUUAGGGUGACCAUGUCCAUCGCUGCUGCUCUGGGUAGCGUUAGGGUGACCAUGUCCAUCGCUGCUGCUCUGGGUAGCGUUAGGGUGACCAUGUCCAUG